rnacentral:tRNA from 1 species
GUUCCUGUAGUGUAGUGGUUAUAAUGUUUGCUUUACACACACAAGGUCCCUGGUUCAAAACCAGACAGAAACA